rnacentral:guide_RNA from 1 species
AUAUGAUAACACAAACCAACAAACAGUAUAAGUCAGAGAAUGAUUAUAG